UGGCGACUGCUUUGAGAAGUUCCCUUUGCUCCGUCCACCAUGAAAUACAGGAUUUCCCAGUGGCCCGCAGUUCAAUUCAACUUCCCAAUCCCAUUCUGACAUGUCGUUCCACUGCCUCCUCUACUGCCACAAUGAGGCCACACUCAAGUUGGAGGAGCAACCCCUCAUAUUUUGUCUGGGUAGCCUCCAUGCUGAUGAUCUGUUGGUUGCUUGUUGAAGAUAUCAUGCCUACGUUUUCCGCAGAAAUGUCGUAGCUGGCCAUUAGCUCCGUGAAAAGUUAAGAGCCUUCAUUUGAACCCUGUGACUCCAGUGCUAC